CCUACGGGAGGCAGCAGUGAGGACUAUUGGUCAAUGGGCGGGAGCCUGAACCAGCCAAGUCGCGUGAGGGAAGACGGUCCUAUGGAUUGUAAACCUCUUUCGGCGGGGAGCAAUGCCGGGCACGCGUGCCCGGAGGGAGAGUACCCGCAGAAUAAGCAUAGGCUAACUCCGUGCCAGCAGCCGCGGUAAUACGGAGGAUGCGAGCGUUAUCCGGAUUGAUUGGGUUUAAAGGGUGAGUAGGCGGAUUUUUAAGUCGGCGGUAAAAUAUCCGGGCUCAACCCGGGCCGGCCGUUGAAACUGGGGAUCUUGAGUGGGGGAGAAGUAUGCGGAAUGCGGGGUGUAGCGGUGAAAUGCAUAGAUAUCACGCAGAACUCCGAUUGCGAAGGCAGCAUACCGGCGCCCGACUGACGCUGAGGCACGAAAGCGUGGGGAUCGAACAGGAUUAGAUACCCUUGUAGUC
rnacentral:rRNA from 1 species